rnacentral:rRNA from 1 species
UACGUAGGGUGCAAGCGUUAAUCGGAAUUACUGGGCGUAAAGCGUGCGCAGGCGGUUCGGAAAGAAAGGUGUGAAAUCCCAGGGCUUAACCUUGGAACUGCACUUUUAACUACCGGGCUAGAGUAUGUCAGAGGGGGGUAGAAUUCCACGUGUAGCAGUGAAAUGCGUAGAGAUGUGGAAGAAUACCGAUGGCGAAGGCAGCCCCCUGGGAUAAUACUGACGCUCAUGCACGAAAGCGUGGGGAGCAAACAGG